rnacentral:rRNA from 1 species
AUUGAACGCUGGCGGCAUGCUUUACACAUGCAAGUCGAACGGCAGCACGGACUUCGGUCUGGUGGCGAGUGGCGAACGGGUGAGUAAUACAUCGGAACGUACCCAGUAAUGGGGGAUAACUAUCCGAAAGGAUAGCUAAUACCGCAUACGCCCUACGGGGGAAAGAGGGGGAUCGCAAGACCUCUUGUUAUUGGAGCGGCCGAUGGCUGAUUAGCUAGUUGGUAGGGUAAAGGCCUACCAAGGCAAAGAUCAGUAGCGGGUCUUAGAGGACGGUCCGCCAAACUGGAACUGAGACACGGUCCAGACUCCUACGGGAGGCAGCAGUGGGGAAUCUUGGACAAUGGGCGCAAGCCUGAUCCAGCAAUGCCGCGUGCGUGAAGAAGGCCUUCGGGUUGUAAAGCGCUUGUGUCAGGGAGCAAAUCCUUGUGGCUAAUACCCACCGGGGAUGAGAGUACCUGAAGAAUAAGGACCGGCUAACUACGUGCCAGCCGCCGCGGUAACAC